GGCGAGGGGAGUGAAAAAGAACCUGAAACCGUGUACGUACAAGCAGUGGGAGCACAGGUUUACCUGUGUGACUGCGUACCUUUUGUAUAAUGGGUCAGCGACUUAUAUUCUGUAGCAAGGUUAACCGAAUAGGGGAGCCGGAGGGAAACCGAGUCUUAACCGGGCGUUAAGUUGCAGGGUAUAGACCCGAAACCCGGUGAUCUAGCCAUGGGCAGGUUGAAGGUUGGGUAACACUAACUGGAGGACCGAACCGAC
rnacentral:rRNA from 1 species